CAUGAUCCCAUUUGAUGACGUAAAUUGUACAUGUUUUCCUGGUGCUUUUGUACUGUAUUUAACUGCUGCACUGCACUAAAUUUCUCAUUUACCGGAGUGUGUGUGAAGCUACUAGCUAAAUCAACACUUAAAUAUUACUUGCUGCUGAUUGACUUGACGAGUAAAUUGGUGAUAAAAACAUGUGAGUGACGCAAGUUUUCAUACGAUAGGAAAGUGCAAUACUGCAAUUCGAGUACACAUCUGCAGAGCUGGAUGCAUGUAUAAAUAUCAAAUAUUUAACUUAAUGUGGCUGGCCUGCAUAUUUGUUGGAAUUGUUACUUUCUUGUUGUGAGGAGGGUGAAAUUGGUUCAUGUUUCAUAAUAACUAAUAAUAAAUAAAUUAGGGUGGUGCAUAAAGAAUGUUCGGCUAAUUUUUGAGGAGUUCUGUCCUCCUAUUUGUUAAAUCAUAGGGUCAAAACAAGUCAAAAUUAGUAUGGAUGGACCACAUGCUAUUUAGUUUAGCUGUUGCUUGGUUGGAGGGACGGACUGAGGAGUAUCAAGGUUAGGGCAGAAUUCGGAAUCGGAGUAGUCGUCGUCGUCGUCGUACUUGUGUCAAUAAAUUAUGCGGAAUGCGACAGCAAUAAUGACAAGCUGGUUGGAAGUAGGUAGGAUUUUGUUAUCAGCUCGUCAUGCAAUAAAUGCGACGACAUUACUUACUACGAAAAACACUCAGGAGAAGUGACAUUUUACAAGUGUUGUCUGACUGUCAAGUGGUGGACUGGACGACGAGUGACGAGGACAACGUGUGACGACAAGAAAUAAAAUUGACACGUUUAUCAGAAAGUUGACUUUGGAACAUUUGUCCGUGCAAAUAAUUAUGAUGAGUGAGGGGACUUACUUUUACAAAAUGUGAUCCGAUAUUUAAUGCUGGGAGAUGAGGACGAGUAGUAAACUUGCAAUUUUUAAGGUCAUUUAAAUGAUACACGAAGAGUUGAUUCUCAGCUGAAGAAUGAAGAACAGAAGAACACUGUUGCUAAAUUAAACAAUGAGUGAUUAUAAAGACAAUUCGUGAAUGACACUGACAACUGGGGACGACGGCGAGGAUAAUGACGACGAACAAUCACUGAAGGAUUAAUUGUCAAAUAUUUUAAUGGUUGAACUUCUUUGGAAUAAAUUCUCUUUGAAAUUUG